rnacentral:rRNA from 1 species
CCUACGGGAGGCAGCAGUAGGGAAUCUUCCACAAUGGGCGAAAGCCUGAUGGAGCAACGCAGCGUGGGUGAAGAAGGUCUUCGGAUCGUAAAACCCUGUUGUUAGAGAAGAAAGUGCGUGAGAGUAACUGUUCACGUUUCGACGGUAUCUAACCAGAAAGCCACGGCUAACUACGUGCCAGCAGCCGCGGUAAUACGUAGGUGGCAAGCGUUAUCCGGAUUUAUUGGGCGUAAAGGGAACGGAGGCGGUCUUUUAAGUCUGAUGUGAAAGUCUUCGGCUUAACCGGAGUAGUGCAUUGGAAACUGGCAGACUUGAGUACAGAAGAGGAGAGCGGAACUCCAUGUGUAGCGGUGAAAUGCGUAGAUAUAUGGAAGAACACCAGUGGCGAAGGCGGCUCUCUGGUCUGUAACUGACGCUGAGGUUCGAAAGCGUGGGUAGCAAACAGGAUUAGAUACCCGUGUAGUC